rnacentral:rRNA from 1 species
GCCGGCCUGAGAGGGCACCGGCCACACUGGGACUGAGACACGGCCCAGACUCCUACGGGAGGCAGCAGUGGGGAAUAUUGCGCAAUGGGCGAAAGCCUGACGCAGCGACGCCGCGUGAGGGACGAAGGCCUUCGGGUCGUAAACCUCUUUCAGCAGGGACGAAGCGCAAGUGACGGUACCUGCAGAAGAAGCACCGGCUAACUACGUGCCAGCAGCCGCGGUAAUACGUAGGGUGCAAGCGUUGUCCGGAAUUAUUGGGCGUAAAGAGCUCGUAGGCGGCUUGUCACGUCUGCUGUGAAAACUUGGGGCUCAACUCCAAGCCUGCAGUGGAUACGGGCUAGCUAGAGUGCGGUAGGGGAGACCGGAAUUCCUGGUGUAGCGGUGAAAUGCGCAGAUAUCAGGAGGAACACCGGUGGCGAAGGCGGGUCUCUGGACCGAUACUGACGCUGAGGAGCGAAAGCGUGGGGAGCGAACAGGAUUAGAUACCCUGGUAGUCCACGCCGUAAACGUUGGGCGCUAGGUGUGGGGAUCUUUCCACGAUCUCCG